UCUCUCCCGCAAAUAGUGGUGCAUGUUUUUGAUUGUUUGAAUGUUUUGGUUUCGUUUGCUUUAGAAGAAAGGCUCGGUUGGUUUUAUGUAGCUUUUUGGUGGUGAUUUUUUUUUUGUUUUACAGAAUGAGUCUUGUGUUUAUUUUCGUUGUUGGCUUUGAUCGAUAAGUUGCCAAAUGAUGAUUGAAAAUUUUGCGCAAGGGUUUUGAGUUUCGGAUGAUUGGAGGUUAACUCUGAUCUGAAUGAACCGUGACAAAAUCAUUUUCUAAUAAUUCAUUCUGAUGGCUGCUGAUCAUUGCUAGAUAUAUCAAAUUUGAAUUCGAUUUUUGGGUACAUGAUUUGAUUUGGAUAGUUAAUUGGAGUUUGUUUGUUAGUAGAAGCUUGGUUUUGGGGCAGCUUAAUGAAUUUUAGGAUUCAGGUUUUCAAUUCUUUUAGCCUUAAAUGUUUUGAAAUUUUUUGUCUAAUGGCUUUGAGUUCCUGAGGAUUGAAUGUUGUAAUUCUGAGGAACUAUGAGAAGUCAUGUAUUCAGGUUCUGCUAUUGAGUUCCUGACGGUUGUGAUCCAAGAAACUGUGAGAAGUCGUUUUUUUUGGAGACUAAUCUCAAUUGCUCCUCAGAGUCAAAGAAUUAAUCUAUAUACUCUCUUCUAAUCUACAUACUCUCCUCCUUUUAAUGAAAGGACGAAACUACCCUUUUACUAGGUAUACGUGGUACAACUGGUAUUCUAGUUGUACCCUCCUAGUUGUACCAGACCUUAGUUGUACCACCUAGUUGUACCACCUAGUUGUACCUCCUCCUAGUUGUACCACAACUUAGUUGUACCCGAAUAUUCCCUAGUUGUACCAGUUACAACCCGAAUAAAAGGAUUCGAACUCUGGGGGGCGCGCGUGCGCAUGGAGCUCGCAACCACUGAGUUAUUGUGUUUUUCGUUGAACAUUUACCGAUUUAAUUGUAUUUAACCUUUAUCACCCGAAAUCAACCCUCAUUAAGGGUAAUUUUGUCUUUCUACCAUUGAGGAGUAUUUGAGACAAAAUUUGGAGCUUGAGGAGCCCCUGAGAAUUUGUUCCCCUAUUUUGAUGUUUUGGGUUGCAGUGUAUUGUUCUAUGAGCUACCAGGACUAUGCUAUAUUCUGGUCUGUACAUACGUUGCUUUUGAUGUGUGGAAAUUAUGCCUAGUGGAUUGGGAUUAGCAUUCUGUUAUCUGAAGGAAUCAUUGAGUUAGUGACCAGCUCCAAAUAUGCAAGAAAUUGUGAGAAUGCAUUAGUUUAGUCCUCUUUUCAGGUAUCUAUAGCCUUAACACUGUAAUACUCAAAUCUUACAUAAGAUUUGUUUCAAGGACAAUGAAGCAUGUUGUAAAGAUUUUGAGCCUGCUGGUAGCAGUCUCUACCUUUUGGUUGCUCUUUUGUAGGCUGCAAUUAUUGCUCGGAGCCAUACAUUGUUGGCGAGUAAUGACUCUGUUGUUCUCAUUUUUGCUUAUUGCUAUUCUGAGCUAGUCAAUAUUACUAAUGUAUAUCUUUGCACCAGCUACCUAUAUACUUUGUAGUGUCCCUUGGAUGCUAUAGUCUAUUAAUGGUUGGAAUCGGUCUAAUACAGCUCCCUACCUGUCCUAAAGAAGCAGUUUUUCUGCAGCAUGUACUUUCUUUACUCUUUUCUGUCUUUGUUAACUCGAAUUCUUAUAGCUUAUUAAGGCUAAAUUAAGUUAUUGCUUAGUGCUUGUACUCCUUGCUGUUCUUAGUGUUGAUUAUGUACUAGUUUGUUUAGGUGCUAUUGUUAUAUUGCAGGAUAUGGCGGAGGCAGAAGACUUCUUCUGCGCUAAAGGCAAAGGACUUGCAAUUGGAUUUAUUUUUGUGUUGUAAACAUGAUGAAUUGAAUUGAACAAUAUUACAAUUCUGACAAGUUCGAGUUAAUUGACUUUUUGUUGGAAUAUCGUUUGUAACAUUUUUUCUCGUGUAUAUAAUAAAUAAGUUGUGAAUCCAACUAGUGUUACUUGGUAUAAUUCAAAAAUUGUAGCUGACUAGCCUUUAAAGUUUAAACUACUUGA